rnacentral:rRNA from 1 species
UACAGAGGUCCCAAGCGUUGUUCGGAUUCACUGGGCGUAAAGGGUGCGUAGGUGGUGAGGUAAGUUUGAUGUGAAAUCUCCGGGCUCAACCCGGAAAUGGCAUUGAAUACUAUCUUGCUAGAGGAGUGGAGGGGGGACUGGAAUACUUGGUGUAGCAGUGAAAUGCGUAGAUAUCAAGUGGAACACCAGUGGCGAAGGCGAGUCCCUGGACAUUUCCUGACACUGAGGCACGAAAGCUAGGGGAGCGAACCGG